rnacentral:rRNA from 1 species
CCUACGGGGGGCUGCAGUGGGGAAUAUUGGACAAUGGGCGAAAGCCUGAUCCAGCCAUGCCGCGUGUGUGAAGAAGGCCUUCGGGUUGUAAAGCACUUUCAGUGGGGAAGAAAGCCUUGGGGCUAAUACCCUCGAGGAAGGACAUCACCCACAGAAGAAGCACCGGCUAACUCCGUGCCAGCAGCCGCAGUAAUACGGAGGGUGCGAGCGUUAAUCGGAAUUACUGGGCGUAAAGCGCGCGUAGGCGGUCUGAUAAGCCGGUUGUGAAAGCCCCGGGCUCAACCUGGGAACGGCAUCCGGAACUGUCAGGCUAGAGUGCAGGAGAGGAAGGUAGAAUUCCCGGUGUAGCGGUGAAAUGCGUAGAGAUCGGGAGGAAUACCAGUGGCGAAGGCGGCCUUCUGGACUGACACUGACGCUGAGGUGCGAAAGCGUGGGUAGCAAACAGGAUUAGAUACCCGAGUAGUC